rnacentral:tRNA from 1 species
CUCCCUGUGGCUCAGUUGGUAGAGCAUGGUGUUUGCAAUGGUGUUUGCAACGCCAGGGUUGUGGGUUCGAUUCCCAUGGGGGGGG